UGGGGAAUAUUGCACAAUGGGCGAAAGCCUGAUGCAGCAACGCCGCGUGAGUGAUGAAGGCCUUCGGGUCGUAAAGCUCUUUGAUCAGGGAUGAUAAUGACAGUACCUGAAAAACAAGCCACGGCUAACUACGUGCCAGCAGCCGCGGUAAUACGUAGGUGGCGAGCGUUGUCCGGAAUUACUGGGCGUAAAGGAUGCGUAGGUGGAUACUUAAGUGGGAUGUGAAAUCCCCGGGCUCAACCCGGGAACU
rnacentral:rRNA from 1 species